rnacentral:rRNA from 1 species
UACGUAGGGGGGCAAGCGUUUGUCCGGAAUCAUUGGGCGUAAAGAGCGUGUAGGCGGCCAGAUAAGUCCGCUGUGAAAUCUCGAGGCUCAACUUCGAGCUGUCGGUGGAAACUGUCUGGCUAGAGUCCGGAAGAGGCGAGUGGAAUUCCCGGUGUAGCGGUGAAAUGCGCAGAUAUCGGGAGGAACACCAAUGGCGAAGGCAGCUCGCUGGGACGUUACUGACGCUGAGACGCGAAAGCGUGGGGAGCAAACAGGG